UUGUGAUAAGCUUCCGGUACUUGCUUCAUGCACUUACCUUCUUGCUUAAUCCAGCCACGGGAAAGUAAAGCGGCGGCGUGUUUCACGCAGUUUGCUUCACAUAAUAUUGCAAGGGUGUCGUAGUGUCAGCAGCCGCUGGCUCACGAUUUCUCCCGCUGUUUCAUUCUGUGACUCGAUGCCUCCUCGGCGCAUUGAAGCCUCGAGGCGACACGAAUUCACGGAGAUCUCAUGAGUGAGGAAGUGG